GGACAGCUGUUUUUACAAAGACACUAUAGUAAAAUUUAAUCAGGUUCCAUAUGUAAAACAACACUUUAAAGAACCACAUCGCUUCUUCCAAGGUGUAUCCAAAAAAUCCACUUAAUGGGAGGCUCGCCAGUCCAACUCCACAAUUAGACACGCACCGAUGGAAGUUGAGACAAUCCAAAUCCAGAAAAGAGUUCACACUUCAAUUAAUUUGAAUGCAGAGCAGAUCACAUUCAGCAACUGACUUUAAUAGAACAUCUCACCAAUGAAAAACCAGAAGAAGAUGCACAAGCAAACAAACAAAGGGGA